rnacentral:rRNA from 1 species
GGAGAACGCUAGCUACAGGCUUAACACACGCAAGUUCGAGGGGCAGCACGGUCUUAGCCUGCUAAGGCCGAACGGCGACCGGCGCACGGGUGAGUAACACGUAUCCAACCUGCCGUCUACUCUCGGACAGCCUUCUGAAAGGAAGAUUAAUACAAGAUGGCAUCAUGAGUCCGCAUGUUCACAUGAUUAAAGGUAUUCCGGUAGACGAUGGGGAUGCGUUCCAUUAGAUAGUAGGCGGGGUAACGGUCCACCUAGUCUUCGAUGGAUAGGGGUUCUGAGAGGAAGGUCCCCCACAUUGGAACUGAGACACGGUCCAAACUCCUACGGGAGGCAGCAGUGAGGAAUAUUGGUCAAUGGGCGAGAGCCUGAACCAGCCAAGUAGCGUGAAGGAUGACUGCCCUAUGGGUUGUAAACUUCUUUUAUAAAGGAAUAAAGUCGGGUAUGGAUACCCGUUUGCAUGUACUUUAUGAAUAAGGAUCGGCUAACUCCGUGCCAGCAGCCGCGGUAAUACGGAGGAUCCGAGCGUUAUCCGGAUUUAUUGGGUUUAAAGGGAGCGUAGAUGGAUGUUUAAGUCAGUUGUGAAAGUUUGCGGCUCAACCGUAAAAUUGCAGUUGAUACUGGAUAUCUUGAGUGCAGUUGAGGCAGGCGGAAUUCGUGGUGUAGCGGUGAAAUGCUUAGAUAUCACGAGGAACUCCGAUUGCGAAGGCAGCCUGCUAAGCUGCAACUGACAUUGAGGCUCGAAAGUGUGGGUAUCAAACAGGAUUAGAUACCCUGGUAGUCCACACGAUAAACGAUGAAUACUCGCUGUUUGCGAUAUACUGCAAGCGGCCAAGCGAAAGCGUUAAGUAUUCCACCUGGGGAGUACGCCGGCAACGGUGAAACUCAAAGGAAUUGACGGGGGCCCGCACAAGCGGAGGAACAUGUGGUUUAAUUCGAUGAUACGCGAGGAACCUUACCCGGGCUUAAAUUGCAGAUGAAUUACGGUGAAAGCCGUAAGCCGCAAGGCAUCUGUGAAGGUGCUGCAUGGUUGUCGUCAGCUCGUGCCGUGAGGUGUCGGCUUAAGUGCCAUAACGAGCGCAACCCUUGUUGUCAGUUACUAACAGGUUCCGCUGAGGACUCUGACAAGACUGCCAUCGUAAGAUGUGAGGAAGGUGGGGAUGACGUCAAAUCAGCACGGCCCUUACGUCCGGGGCUACACACGUGUUACAAUGGGGGGGUACAGAGGGCCGCUACCACGCGAGUGGAUGCCAAUCCCCAAAACCUCUCUCAGUUCGGACUGGAGUCUGCAAACCCGACUCCACGAAGCUGGAUUCGCUAGUAAUCGCGCAUUCAGCCACGGCGCGGUAAAUACGUUUCCCGACCC